rnacentral:rRNA from 1 species
AACGAACGCUGGCGGCAUGCCUAACACAUGCAAGUCGAACGAAGGCUUCGGCCUUAGUGGCGCACGGGUGCGUAACGCGUGGGAAUCUGCCCCUCGGUUCGGAAUAACAGUUAGAAAUGACUGCUAAUACCGGAUGAUGACUUCGGUCCAAAGAUUUAUCGCCGAGGGAUGAGCCCGCGUAAGAUUAGGUAGUUGGUGGGGUAAAGGCCUACCAAGCCGACGAUCUUUAGCUGGUCUGAGAGGAUGAUCAGCCACACUGGGACUGAGACACGGCCCAAACUCCUACGGGGGGCAGCAGUGGGGAAUAUUGGACAAUGGGCGAAAGCCUGAUCCAGCAAUGCCGCGUGAGUGAUGAAGGCCUUAGGGUUGUAAAGCUCUUUUACCAGGGAUGAUAAUGACAGUACCUGGAGAAUAAGCUCCGGCUAACUCCGUGCCAGCCGCCGCAGUAA